rnacentral:rRNA from 1 species
GAUGAACGCUGGCGGCGUGCUUAACACAUGCAAGUCGAACGGAAAGGCCCUGCUUGCAGGGUACUCGAGUGGCGAACGGGUGAGUAACACGUGGGUGAUCUGCCCUGCACUUCGGGAUAAGCCUGGGAAACUGGGUCUAAUACCGGAUAGGAGCCAUUUUUAGUGUGAUGGUUGGAAAGUUUUUUCGGUGUAGGAUGAGCUCGCGGCCUAUCAGCUUGUUGGUGGGGUAAUGGCCUACCAAGGCGGCGACGGGUAGCCGGCCUGCGAGGGUGGACGGCCACAUUGGGACUGAGAUACGGCCCAGACUCCUACGGGAGGCAGCAGUGGGGAAUAUUGCACAAUGGGCGCAAGCCGGAUGCAGCGACGCCGCGUGGGGGAUGACGGCCUUCUGGUUGUAGACUCCUUUCGCUAGGGACGAAGCUUUUUGUGACGGUACCUAGAUAAGAAGCACCGGCUAACUACGUG